CUGGGUUAUAUAUGGUAGGUAAAACCAUGUAUGCUCUAAAUUCCAAAGGUGAAUUUUCAUGGAGAGAUAAACCAUACAAGUCAAUAACUAUAUUACCUAGUGAUAGUUUCUAUUGUGAAUAUUUUCAAGUCUUGAGAGCUGAAGUAGAUGGAAUAAUAGCUUCUAAAAAUGUCCACAUCUUAAUUUUUGAAACUUAAGAAUAUAUCAUUUUAUAUGGGAAAGAGAUUUUGCAAAUUUGAUUAAAUCAAGGACUUUGGGUUUGGGAUAUUUCCUUGGGUUACAAGCAUAUCUCCAAUAUAACCACAUCAAGAAACCUGGAGAAUCUUUCCAGGCUAUGAUCAAAGAAAUAUAUGUUUCACCACAGCAGUUGUAGAAAACUAACUCAGGAAGGUGAGAGAAAGACACAGACAACUUCAUAUCUGACCCUGUCUGAAAUACAUAGAUUGUCAGAAAUUCACUGGGCAGACACGUUAUAACAGCUGUCCAGGUGGAAGGAAAAGAAUUUACAAAGUCACAGAUGUAUUCUGGUAACUUCGAAUCACUCAUAUGGAUCACGGAGAAGUAGGAUUAAGUGGGACAGAGGAAAAAUAGCUUAUGUUUAGUGAUUAAGUAGCAUUCUAUUCAAAAGAAUGUAAAUAAUUCCUGUAAUAUUGAAAUUUUUACCUAUUCUUUGCUGUCUUAUUUUCAUUUAAAAGUACAGGUGUAAGAUUGCCUAGCUUCUUUUGGGAGAUCUAAGGGUUUUUGUUUUGUUUUGUUUUUAAGUUCUUUGUGUAUUAUAGAUAUUAGUCUUCUGUCAGAGGAAUAGUGGGCAAAAUUUUUCCCAACUGGAGGUCGUCUCUUCGCUCUGUUGGUUAUUUCCUUUGCAGUGUAGAAGCAGGUGGCCAUGUGCCAGUACUGCUGCUACUACAGCGGCGCGCACCAGGGACGUGGAGAGCUGGAGGAACGAGAUCCGGAAGAUGCUGAUGAACUCCAGGACCGGCUGGAGGACAUCGAGGACCAGCUCCACAAGCUCGAGUCCGACGAGCGCCUGGUGGAGGAGAAGGCAGAGGUCAAAGGCCACUUCUCAAGCAGCUUUUGGCACCUUCAGCCUCAAAGUGGAAUCUACAGACAGGAACCUCGUGUCCAGGAAAGGGGAAAAGGAACUUUGCCAGUGACAGUGACCACAGCAAAAGCAAAUAAUAAUAACAAUAAUAAUAAUAAUAAUAAAUAAAGGGAAUAAAAUAAAAUUUAAUUGGAUAUGAUCCCAUUUGUUUAUUCUUUGUAUUAUUUCUUCUGAAAUUGGGGAUCUGUUCCGAAAGUCUUUGCCUUCAAGAAUUACAAAUGGCCAGUAAGUACAUGAAAACAUUUCAACAUCUCUGGCCAUCAGAGAAAUACAAACUAAAACAGCACUGAGAUUCCAUCUUAUUACAGAAGGAAUGCUAUCAUCAAGAAAUCAAAUAGUAACAAAUGCUGGCAAAGCUGCUAGGGGG
rnacentral:lncRNA from 1 species